rnacentral:rRNA from 1 species
GCGAGUCUGAAUAGGGCGAAUGAGUAUUUGGUCGUAGACCCGAAACCAGGUGAUCUACCCUUGGUCAGGUUGAAGUUCAGGUAACACUGAAUGGAGGACCGAACCGACUUACGUUGAAAAGUGAGCGGAUGAACUGAGGGUAGCGGAGAAAUUCCAAUCGAACUUGGAGAUAGCUGGUUCUCUCCGAAAUAGCUUUAGGGCUAGCCUCAAGUGAUGAUUAUUGGAGGUAGAGCACUGUUUGGACGAGGGGCCCCUCUCGGGUUACCGAAUUCAGACAAACUCCGAAUGCCAAAUAAUUUAACUUGGGAGUCAGAAUGUGGGUGAUAAGGUCCAUAUUCGAAAGGGAAACAGCCCAGACCACCAGCUAAGGUCCCAAAAUAUAUGUUAAGUGGAAAAGGAUGUGGCGUUGCCCAGACAACUAGGAUGUUGGCUUAGAAGCAGCCAUCAUUUAAAGAGUGCGUAAUAGCUCACUAGUCGAGUGACACUGCGCCGAAAAUGUACCGGGGCUAAACAUAUUACCGAAGCUGUGGAUUGUCCUUUGGACAAUGGUAGGAGAGCGUUCUAAGGGCGUUGAAGCAUGAUCGCAAGGACAUGUGGAGCGCUUAGAAGUGAGAAUGCCGGUGUGAGUAGCGAAAGACGGGUGAGAAUCCCGUCCACCGAUUGACUAAGGUUUCCAGAGGAAGGCUCGUCCGCUCUGGGUUAGUCGGGUCCUAAGCUGAGGCCGACAGGCGUAGGCGAUGGAUAACAGGUUGAUAUUCCUGUACCACCAUUAUUCGUUUUAAGCGAUGGGGGGACGCAGUAGGAUAGGCGAAGCGUGCUGUUGGAGUGCACGUCCAAGCAGUGAGAUUGAGUGUUAGGCAAAUCCGGCACUCUUAAGAUUGAGCUGUGAUGGGGAGAGGAACUUGUUCCUCGAGUCGUUGAUUUCACACUGCCGAGAAAAGCCUCUAGCUAGAAUAACGGUGCCCGUACCGCAAACCGACACAGGUAGUCAAGAUGAGAAUUCUAAGGUGAGCGAGCGAACUCUCGUUAAGGAACUCGGCAAAAUGACCCCGUAACUUCGGGAGAAGGGGUGCUCUUUGAGGUUCACGCUUCGAAGAGCCGCAGUGAAUAGGCCCAAGCGACUGUUUAUCAAAAACACAGGUCUCUGCUAAACCGUAAGGUGACGUAUAGGGGCUGACGCCUGCCCGGUGCUGGAAGGUUAAGAGGAGUGGUUAGCGCAAGCGAAGCUACGAAUCGAAGCCCCAGUAAACGGCGGCCGUAACUAUAACGGUCCUAAGGUAGCGAAAUUCCUUGUCGGGUAAGUUCCGACCCGCACGAAAGGCGUAACGAUUUGGGCACUGUCUCAACGAGAGACUCGGUGAAAUCAUAGUACCGGUGAAGAUGCCGGUUACCCGCGACAGGACGGAAAGACCCCGUGGAGCUUUACUGUAGCCUGAUAUUGAAAUUCGGUACAGUUUGUACAGGAUAGGUAGGAGCCUUAGAAGCGUGAGCGCUAGCUUACGUGGAGGCAUUGGUGGGAUACUACCCUAAUUGUAUUGGAUUUCUAACCCGCAGCACUUAUCGUGCUGGGAGACAGUGUCAGGCGGGCAGUUUGACUGGGGCGGUCGCCUC